rnacentral:ncRNA from 14 species
GGCGGAAUGGCCGAGUGGUCUAAGGCGUCAGACUCAAGUAUUCUGAUCUCGUUAUCGAGGCGUGGGUUCAAAUCCCACUUCCGUCA